GCGAGAAAAGCUGAUGGCGGAGUUUAUAGAUGUCCGUACCGGAAACCGACACAGGUGGGUGAGGCGAGCAGCCUCAGGUGAACGAGUGAAACGUGGUCAAGGAACUCGGCAUAAUGAUCCCGUAACUUCGGAAGAAGGGAUGCCAGAGAGGGUGUAGGGUACACCGAAGCUCUCCCUGGUCGCAGCGAAUCGGCCCAAGCGACUGUUUAGCAAAAACACAGGUGUGUGCCAAGCCGCACAAGGCGCCGUAUACACACUGACGCCUGCCCGGUGCCGGAAGGUUAAGGGGAGAGGUUAGCCGCAAGGCGAAGCUUUGAGCCGAAGCCCCGGUAAACGGCGGCCGUAACAAUAACGGUCCUAAGGUAGCGAAAUUCCUUGUCGGGUAAGUUCCGACCUGCACGAAUGGCGUAACGACUUGGGCACUGUCUCGACCACGUGCUCGGCGAAAUGGCAGUCUCGGUGAGGAUUCCGAGUCCCCGCGACAGGACAAAAAGACCCCAUGCACCUUUACUGUAGCUUGUCAUUGGUCGUUGCACAUCGCUGUGUAGCAUAGGUGGGAGGCGUUGAUCCGUGGGCGCUAGCUUACGGGGAGCCAUCAGUGAAAUACCACCCUGCGUCGUGCGACGCCCUCACCACGGCGGGAACACCCCGUCUGGGACCGUGGCAGGUGGGCAGUUUGACUGGGGCGGUCGCCUCCGAAACAGUAACGGAGGCGCGCGCAAGGUUGGCUCAGCGCGGACGGUACUCGCGCUUCUAGAGUGUAACGGCAGAAGCCAGCCUGACGGUGAGAUCGACGGAUCGAGCCGCCACGAAAGUGGGCCGUAGUGAUCCGGUAGCCCGGGGUGGAGCGGCUAUCGCGCAACGGAUAAAAGGUACGCUGGGGAUAACAGGCUUAUCGCGCCCGAGAGUUCACAUCGACGGCGCGGUUUGGCACCUCGAUGUCGGCUUAUCACAUCCUGGGGCUGGAGAAGGUCCCAAGGGUCCGGCUGUUCGCCGGUUAAAGUGGUACAUGAGCUGGGUUCAGAACGUCGUGAGACAGUUCGGUCUGUAUCCGUCGUGGGCGUUGGAGAGUUGAGGGGAGCGGACUCUAGUACGAGAGGACCGAGUCGGACGACCCGCUCGUGUCCCGGUUGUCCUGCCAAGGGCACCGCCGGGUAGCGAUGGUCGGCUGUGAUAACCGCUGAAAGCAUCUAAGUGGGAAGCACGCCCCAAGAUGAACUCUCCCGAGGCCUUGAGCCUCUUGAAGGGCCGGGGAAGACCACCCCGUCGAUAGGCCGCCCGUGGACGUCCCGCAAGGGAUUCCAAGCGCAGCGGUCCUAAUCGCCCGUAUGGCUUGACUAC
rnacentral:rRNA from 1 species